rnacentral:rRNA from 1 species
AUUCUGGCGUCAGGAUGAACGCUGGCGGCGUGCCUAACACAUGCAAGUCGAGCGGAGAUAAGUUGAAGCCUAGCGAUUCUUAUCUUAGCGGCGGAUGGGUGAGUAACACGUGGGUAACCUGCCCUGCACUGGGGAAUAACAGUUGGAAACGGCUGUUAAUGCCGCAUAUGCGCACGGAGCCGCAUGGCUUUGGGCGGAAAGAUUUAUCGGUGCAGGAUGGGCCCGCGUCGGAUUAACUAGUUGGCGGGGUAACGGCCCACCAAGGUGAUGAUCCCUAGCCGACCUGAGAGGGUGACCGGCCACAUUGGGACUGAGACACGGCCCAAACUCCUACGGGAGGCAGCAGUGGGGGAUAUUGCACAAUGGGGGAAACCCUGAUGCAGCGACGCCGCGUGAAGGAUGAAGUAUUUCGGUAUGUAAACUUCUAUCAGCGGGGAAGAAGAUGACGGUACCCGACUAAGAAGCCCCGGCUAACUACGUGCCAGCCGCCGC